ensembl:lncRNA
CAAACAAGUGGCCUAACAUCUUUUGUUUUCCUAUUUGCUCUGGUAAAACAUGCUAUUCAUUCACUUCAGAUAAUGAUAAAUGUUAAUCAUUUGAAAAUAAUCCACAAGAAGGUAACUGACUUAUCAUUUUUCACCUGUAACUACAGAUGACGCAAACAUGUAUAACGAAGUGAAUUUUAUGUGCAAUACAUGUAUGUCUUCUGGAACAACGCCUAUGAGCAUGAUGGAGCUUGGACUCCUAGGAUCACAGUGAUGAUGACAACAUGCUUCAAUUUAAAGUGAUUUAUGCUUGCAGAGGACAAAAGACAGAGGAACAGCAGUAUGAACUGUACAAUUCUUUUCUGGGAUUUUAAAUUCAUUUGGCUGAUGGACAGGGAAACCUUACUAUCCUUUUGGUGAAGAAAAUUCUGUCGUUUGUCAGUGUUCAAGAUGCUGAUUCAGUUGCUGUCUCUGAAUGCCUCCUUCACUCCAGAACACCCUUGCAAGGGAGGGAUGGCCGGACAGCCUGCCCCCUACCUCCAGCUGAUGGAGUGAGAAGAGAUCUCCCAAGUCUCCCAGGCGCCAUCUCUGCCUCACACAUCGGCUCUGCCUGGAUCUGCUCCAAAAGCUGCAGUGCUUGGCCAGCUCCCCCGCCGCCAUCAAUCUAGUCUCAUCCAUCACCUCCAACCUACAAGAUGAUGCAGGACCCCCCGCUCAUGUUCUUCCAGCUCCUGAAAUGGCUGGUGGCGAAGAAGACAUCCUGCUGGCCUGCAAAGCCUCAGGCAUGUAGGCAAUGGUUGUAGGCCACAGUGUCCUGUGCCACAGUCUGGAGUAGAGGCACCUGGGCAGAGGAAGUAGGAAGCAAAUAUGUAUUGAAAGUGGGGACAUCAGCCUCCAACAUCAGCUAGGAGGUGAAGCAGCUGCCAUGACCCAGCAUUGCUGGCUCAGUUACAGCUUUGGGUGGGGGGGAGAAAAUAAAUAAAUAAAAG